UGGGUGACAAGAGUCAUUCAGGUGAAUGGUACUAAAAGUAUGCUAGAAUAUUAGAUAUCCUAUUCGCUGGCUUCUUCAACGAAUAGGUUAUCCUACCAUUUUUUUCUUAUCUAAAAACAAGGGUUUAAAACUUCUCCCUUUAGUUUGCAAACAGAAACCCUGAAUAAUAAACUAGUUUCUUUGUUGGUUGAUGUAGUUUUAGAACCAGAACUAAACUUUUCAUAUAUAAAAUCUUCAGAACAUGCUCAGCUUUGAUAGUUUCCUAUUAUCCUAUCAUUUUCCGCAUCAAACUUAUUCAUCCUGCAACUGAAAAUAUUUUUGCGGCUCUGUUUCUGUUGCAGUGAUGCUUUCAUUAGUAGAAACGUAUAGAACUGCAGAAUUGCUUCCUUCUAUACGAGGGACCUGACCAUCUUAAAACUUCCCUGGUUUGUUGGAUCACAAAGUUGCUUAUGGAUGUUUAGGCUUCAUUCAUCUAGGCUUCGUAUUCUGCUUUUCCUGGUUGUGAAAAACUUUACUUUUUGAAGUGGAGUUGGACUCAAAUGCAAACAUUCAUAUCUUACUACAGUAGAAGAUUAAUAACAUCUCGGUAAUGUUACUUAUGCUAUGAAAAGAAUUGUUCUCAUGAAGUGACUAUAUGCUCUCCAUGCAACGAGGAUGGCAUUUCUGGCCUGAAUUCUUUACAC